rnacentral:lncRNA from 1 species
UUUUGUUUUUUAAAUUAUUUUUAUGCAUAAUUUUUGAUAAAUUUAAUAUUUAAACAAUUGAGGGUAUUUUACUAAACUUAUCAGUUACAAUACAGUACGAUACAAUCAAACCAAACAGCAAAAUAUUUUUUAACAAGAACAAACAAUACAAUAUAUCCAAACAUUGUAUUCAUAAAACGAUACGAUACAAUACAAUACAUUACAAAACGAUGCAGAAGAAUGAUCCAAACAUAGUGUAAGUUCACGCCAAACCCCACAAAUUAGUAGUCCAUGUGGAAAUAUUUUAAAGGCUUUGGACAAGUGUCUAAGCCAUUCUAGAAGGCUAUGCUAAGUGGCAAACUUGAUCAGCCACUUUCUUGCCAUGCACAACAAAUUUACAUGCAAUUACAAUUAUAAAUAGCCAUCAUUUGGCUGCACAAUUCAUCCACCAUCAGAAGUGCUUUUCUACUUGGCCCUUCUUCUCUUUCUCUCUUAGCUUCCCUUAUUUCCAUUUCUUUGUCCUAUUCUCUUUUCAAUAUUGUUGGAUUAUUGUUAUAUAAAUAUUUUGAUGAUUCUCUAAAUAAAAUAGAGGUAAGCUUGUUUAAUCGUGGAGAAACAUUUCACAUUGCUGAAAUAGUUUAUUAGGACAAUGCCCAGUAUGACUCAAGUUAAUUCCUGUAUCUACCUACAAAGAAUAUUGAAACAGUGUUAUUGAAAUUCUUGCUCUCAAUUACUACACUCCAAAUCAUACUCUAUCUUUUUAAUUAGUUGGUAAAACGACAACGUAUUAUACCGAAAAUGCAGACAAGAAGCGAACCGUCGAUGGACCCAUAAUAAUAAUAAUACUUGCUUGAAAUUUGUGUAUGUAGUAUAAUAUAUAUGAGAGGAAAGCAGUACCUGUGAGCUCUUCAAUCUUCUACAGGAUAUAACUCAAUGAAGAAAAACUCUGGGCAUAAUAAGCUAAUUUGAAUUCUUCCUUGGCUAAUUGCCUUUUUCCUUAUCUUUUCAGUCGUAUUAUUAUGCGUUAGCUAACAAUUAGUAGCACCUAAU